rnacentral:rRNA from 1 species
UACGUAGGGGCCGAGCGUUGUCCGGAGUUACUGGGCGUAAAGCGCGCGCAGGCGGCUCGUCAAGCCUGACGUGAAAGCCCCCGGCUCAACCGGGGAGGGUCGUCGGGGACUGGCGGGCUUGAGGUCGGCAGGGGUUGGUGGAAUUCCCGGUGUAGUGGUGAAAUGCGUAGAGAUCGGGAGGAACACCCGUGGCGAAGGCGGCCAACUGGGCCGGACCUGACGCUGAGACGCGAAAGCGUGGGGAGCGAACAGG